AUAAUCAAAAAACUCCGAGUAUAUUUACCUGAGUAAUUUAGUUAUUAUGGGAAAUAUGCCGAUAGGGUCAAUUUGGAAACGGAUUGGCCUCCCGGAAUGGAAAGGAGUAUUAUUUUUAAUGAU
rnacentral:ncRNA from 1 species